GACGAACGCUGGCGGCGUGCUUAACACAUGCAAGUCGAACGGUGAAGCGCCUUCCUUUUUGGUGGGUGUGGAUGAGUGGCGAACGGGUGAGUAACACGUGAGUAACCUGCCCCCUUCUUCUGGAUAACCGCAUGAAAGUGUGGCUAAUACGGGAUAUUCUGGGUCUGUCGCAUGAUGGGUCUGGGAAAGAUAUUGUUUCGGUGGGGGAUGGGCUCGCGGCCUAUCAGCUUGUUGGUGGGGUGAUGGCCUACCAAGGCGGUGACGGGUAGCCGGCCUGAGAGGGUGGACGGUCACACUGGGACUGAGACACGGACCAGACUCCUACGGGAGGCAGCAGUGGGGAAUAUUGCACAAUGGGCGCAAGCCUGAUGCAGCGACGCCGCGUGAGGGAUGGAGGCCUUCGGGUUGUGAACCUCUUUCGCCAGUGAAGCAGGCCUGCCUCGUUUGUGGGUGGGUUGACGGUAGCUGGAGAAGAAGCGCCGGCUAACUACGUG
rnacentral:rRNA from 1 species